rnacentral:rRNA from 1 species
CUGAAACCGUGUGCUUACAAGUAGUCAGAGCCCGUUAAUGGGUGAUGGCGUGCCUUUUGUAGAAUGAACCGGCGAGUUACGAUUUGAUGCAAGGUUAAGCAGUAAAUGUGGAGCCGUAGCGAAAGCGAGUCUGAAUAGGGCGUUUAGUAUUUGGUCGUAGACCCGAAACCAGGUGAUCUACCCUUGGUCAGGUUGAAGUUCAGGUAACACUGAAUGGAGGACCGAACCGACUUACGUUGAAAAGUGAGCGGAUGAACUGAGGGUAGCGGAGAAAUUCCAAUCGAACCUGGAGAUAGCUGGUUCUCUCCGAAAUAGCUUUAGGGCUAGCCUCAAGUGAUGAUUAUUGGAGGUAGAGCACUGUUUGGACGAGGGGCCCCUCUCGGGUUACCGAAUUCAGACAAACUCCGAAUGCCAAUUAAUUUAACUUGGGAGUCAGAACAUGGGUGAUAAGGUCCGUGUUCGAAAGGGAAACAGCCCAGACCACCAGCUAAGGUCCCAAAAUAUAUGUUAAGUGGAAAAGGAUGUGGCGUUGCCCAGACAACUAGGAUGUUGGCUUAGAAGCAGCCAUCAUUUAAAGAGUGCGUAAUAGCUCACUAGUCGAGUGACACUGCGCCGAAAAUGUACCGGGGCUAAACAUAUUACCGAAGCUGUGGAUUGUCCUUUGGACAAUGGUAGGAGAGCGUUCUAAGGGCGUUGAAGCAUGAUCGUAAGGACAUGUGGAGCGCUUAGAAGUGAGAAUGCCGGUGUGAGUAGCGAAAGACGGGUGAGAAUCCCGUCCACCGAUUGACUAAGGUUUCCAGAGGAAGGCUCGUCCGCUCUGGGUUAGUCGGGUCCUAAGCUGAGGCCGACAGGCGUAGGCGAUGGAUAACAGGUUGAUAUUCCUGUACCACCUAUAAUCGUUUUAAUCGAUGGGGGGACGCAGUAGGAUAGGCGAAGCGUGCGAUUGGAUUGCACGUCUAAGCAGUAAGGCUGAGUAUUAGGCAAAUCCGGUACUCGUUAAGGCUGAGC